rnacentral:lncRNA from 1 species
AAUUGGAAAGACUUCUUUUUCUUGUACACAAUGGGCACCUUCAAAAACUGCCAAUGUGUGGAAGGAUAUGGAUAAGAUUUUCAGUUGAAAUUCAAACUAAUUUGAAUUCAAAUCAAAAUCAACCAAUUUCUAUCCUUAAUGGAUGACAAAAGAAGGAUUACUUUCUAGUUUUUUCAUCCACAAACUAAUUUUAUACAGUGAGAAAAUGUAUGAGACAAUUUGGGUGGCGCA